rnacentral:lncRNA from 1 species
GUCUGUAUGGGUCCCUAUGUGUCCCUAUGGGUCCCUAUGUGUCUCAAUGUGUCCCUAUGUGUCUCCAUGGGGUCGCUAUGGGUCGCUAUGGGUCGCAAUGUGUCGGUAUGUGUCCCCCUGGUGGCUGUGUGUCUCUAUGUGUCCCUAUGUGUCCCUAUGUGUCUCCAUGGCAUCCCUAUGUGUCUCCAUGGCAUCCCUAUGUGUCCCUAUGUGUCCCUACGUGUCUCCAUGGCAUCCCUAUGGGUCCCUAUGUGUCUCCAUGGGGUCGCUAUGGGUCGCACUGUGUCGGUGUGUGUCCCCCUGGUGGCUGUGUGUCUCUAUGUGUCCCUAUGGGUCCCUAUGUGUCCCUAUGUGUCCCUAUGUGUCCCUAUGGUUCUCUAUGUGUCCCUACGUGUCUCCAUGGCAUCCCUAUGGGUCGCUAUGGGUCGCUAUGGGUCGCUAUGGGUCGCAAUGUGUCGGUAUGUGUCCCCCUGGUGGCUGUGUGUCUCUAUGUGUCCCUAGGUGUCCCUAUGUGUCUCCAUGGCAUCCCUAUGUGUCUCCAUGGCAUCCCUAUGUGUCUCCAUGGCGUCCCUACGGGUCCCUAUGGGUCGCUAUGUGUCGCUCUGUGUCCCCAUGUGUCGGUAUGUGUCCCCAUGGUGGCUGUGUGUCCCUAUGUGUCCCUACGUGUCCCUAUGUGUCUGUAUGUGUCCCUAUGUGUCCCUAUGUGUCCCUAUGUGUCUCAAUGUGUCCCUAUGUGUCUCCAUGGGGUCCCUAUGGGUCGCUAUGGGUUGCAAUGUGUCGGUGUGUGUCCCCCUGGUGGCUGUGUGUCUCUAUGUGUCCCUAUGUGUCUCUAUGUGUCUCUAUGUGUCCCUAUGUGUCUCUAUGUGUCUCUAUGCGUCGCUAUGGGUCUCUGUGGGUCCCUACGUGUCCCUAUGUGUCCCUAUGUGUCUCUAUGGGUCCCUAUGUGUGUCUAUGUGUCCCUAUGGGGUCCCUAUGUGUCUCUAUGGGUCUCUAUGGGUCUCUAUGUGUCUGUAUGUGUCCCUAUGUGUCUCUAUGUGUCUCUGUGCGUCUCUAUGGGUCCCUAUGUGUCUCUAUGUGUCCCUAUGUGUCUCUAUGUGUCCCUAUGGGUCCCUAUGUGUCCCUAUGUGUCCCUAUGUGUCUCUAUGUGUCUCAGUGUGUCUCUAUGUGUCCCUAUGUGUCCCUAUGUGUCUCCAUGGCAUCCCUAUGUGUCUCCAUGGCAUCCCUAUGUGUCCCUAUGUGUCCCUAUGUGUCUCCAUGGGGUCCCUAUGAGUCGCUAUGGGUCGCUAUG